rnacentral:misc_RNA from 1 species
UGACGGGUCAAUUCAACAAAUCAAGACAUCUUCUCAAUAUAUUAAUCUAUAUUCGAUCUAAUGAAAAUUCAUCUCUUCUGAUUCAUUGAAUUCGAGCUUGAGAUGUCGCUGUCAUUGAACUGGUCUGAUGAGAAUUGCAAACCAUAGAAUUCAUCUUUCCAAGUUCCCAUCCCAGUUGUCAUCUGGGUUAUUGGUUUCUUAAUUGUUAGUUAUGUAGUUGAAUCACAGUGUGAGCUUCAUGAGGCAGGAGAUUGAUCUGACUACUUUUGUCCUUGAGAAAAGCAUACAAAAAGAAUAGUUGAAGGCCUGAUGAUGAAUUUCUGCCUCAUCUACUUCUUGAUUCUGGUCCUUGUAGACCAUGGAUUUGGGUUUAACAUGGAUGAGUGCAAAGAAUCUAAAUGUGGGGGUCAUGGUCCAGCAGUCCGAUUCCCUUUCCGAAUCAAAGGCCAGCAACCUGACUCCUGUGGUUACCCUGAAACUGGGUUUGAUCUAUCUUGCUCAGAAAGAAAGGAGACGGUGCUGGAGCUGCCUACUUCAGUGAAACUCUUGGUCAAAAAGAUAGAUUAUGUUGCUCAAGUGAUUUAUACAAGUGAUCCACAAGAUUGUCUUCCAAGACAGCUUUCCAACUUCAAUUUAUCUGCUUCUUCAUUCCGGUUUAGGGACAUUGGCGACUUCAAUCAUCAGUCCUUGUUCAACUGUUCAUGGAGAAAAAAAUACGUUCUUUCAAAUGCCUUGCCUCAGUGCUCCUGGCUACCAAGUUUAUGUGUUUAGUUCAAGAGUUUCCAUGGACAAUAUUGCCCUUUUGUAUUGUGCCAAGAUGUAUGAUGUUUCACUAGUUCCAGAUGACAUGAUUGAUGGAAAUAAUAUUCUUCAUUUGAAUUGGUCCAUUCCAAGUUGUGGAUCUUGUGCAGCAAAAGGCAAAUUUUGCAGAUUGAAGGCUAACACCACUGAACCUGAAAUUGAAUGUUACGGCAAGCUCAGGCAAAUUAAAUGGUCAUCCGCAAAAUUUGUAGCCACAGGUAUAGUCCUGGUUUUGAUUCUGCUAGUAGUAGUGGGGAUUGUUGUUUACCGCAUCUACAGCUUCAACAGAAUUGAAAAAGAAUAUCAAUCUAAGAUUGAAAAAUUUUUAGAUGAUUAUAAAGCUUUCAAGCCUGCAAGAUAUUCCUAUGCUGAUAUCAAGAGGAUCACAAAUCACUUCAAGGAGGAAUUAGGCCAAGGAGCUUAUGGAACUG